GAUGAACGCUGGCGGCGUGCCUAAUACAUGCAAGUCGAGCGAACAGACGAGGAGCUUGCUCCUCUGACGUUAGCGGCGGACGGGUGAGUAACACGUGGAUAACCUACCUAUAAGACUGGGAUAACUUCGGGAAACCGGAGCUAAUACCGGAUAAUAUAUUGAACCGCAUGGUUCAAUAGUGAAAGACGGUUUUGCUGUCACUUAUAGAUGGAUCCGCGCCGCAUUAGCUAGUUGGUAAGGUAACGGCUUACCAAGGCAACGAUGCGUAGACGACCUGAGAGGGUGAUCGGACACACUGGAACUGAGACACGGUCCAGACUCCUACGGGAGGCAGCAGUAGGGAAUCUUCCGCAAUGGGCGAAAGCCUGACGGAGCAACGCCGCGUGAGUGAUGAAGGUCUUCGGAUCGUAAAACUCUGUUAUUAGGGAAGAACAAAUGUGUAAGUAACUAUGCACGUCUUGACGGUACCUAAUCAGAAAGCCACGGCUAACUACGUG
rnacentral:rRNA from 1 species